AUUCCUGUUUGCCGGAGAGAGACCCGGCAGGAUCAGUGUUUUCAGGGAAUGGCCACAGCAGCCAUUCUGCUUCUAAUUGCCCGUGAACCGCCUUUGUCGUCUAUAAUUUGGUGACAUUAUUAACCCAACAUCUCCAAAAAUAUACCGCCAACAUCCAACAGCCUCCAUUUGCAAGUGAAAAAAGCCCACUUUUCCUCAUGUAAAUUGAGUCAUUAAGUAUGCAGAUGGACAGUCAGUUGUACAAUUAGCUAAUCUACACAUGCAAAUAUUCAUUUGUGUAUGCAAAUAUGGAGUUGGGAGCACACAUACAGAUGUGCCUGUAAAGACUGCAAGGGUAAUUAAGCAGACUGGCAGAUAAUUCACUCCUGAAAUGUUAUGGCUACCGAUUACCCAGUGCCUUUAACCUCGGUGGCUAGGACAAGCUCCGCUCCAAGAAAUGAGGUCACUCCACGGCCAAGGACCCCAGGCACAGUGGAGAUAAGAACUGGGGGAUAAAGGCCACCCAGCUUCCAGUUACUCAGGCAGCUAAGUAGUUAAAACCUUUAAUUAAUUUAAAAAAAAAAAAUCUCCAGGGCAACACAGAGAAAUCCUGUCUUGGAACAAAACAAAACAAAACACACAAGUCAAGUGGUGGUGUCGCACGGCUUUAAUCCCAGCACUCGGGAGGCAGAGCCAGGCGGAUCUCUGUGAGUUCCAGGUUAACCUGGUCUACAGUGUGUGUUCCAGGAUAGUCCAGGCUACACAGAGAUACCCUUCUCU